UACGACAAUCAUGUGACCUACCUGCCGGGACCGGAGGGCAGCUGGAUUCACAGGUGAGCCACCUAAAGAGAUAAGGGAGACUGCAGCUGCUCUUCAGAGGGCUAAGGCCCACCAAAGAGGGAUACAACACUCUGGCUUCUCUUUCUACCGCCUCUGCAUCUCCGGAUGAUGCCAAACCCAAGCAGAAGGCCUGGCUUGCACUUCUAUGUACACAUGCCCUACGGUAGGAGUGUAAUGAACUCAACUGGGAAGCAUCAACCAGGGUAAAGAAACUUCUGGAAGAUGCCUUUGCACCCCUUGCCACUUGUGUCACACGCCAGGCCUUCGCAGAUGAGCUCAGCUGGAGAGGGAACUGACUCUGGGUUGGAGACUCGGCUGCCCGCUGGCCUGGGCUGAGAAACACAAAGCGGAAAUGUGGAGUAAGGGGAACAGCAGCAUGGGUAUCCGUCGUGUUCCUGAAAAUCUGUCUUCUUCAAAGGAGAGAAAAAGAAAACAUGGACACAAGUAA